rnacentral:misc_RNA from 1 species
GUAGGUGAACCUGCGGAAGGAUCAUUCAUAAUAAGUGUUUUAUGGCACUUUUUUAAAUCCAUAUCCACCUUGUGUGCAAUGUCAGGGUUGAUUUUUCUCUCGAGAGGAUCAGCCCCAAACAUCAACUAUACCUCAACUCUUUGUCUGAAAAAUAUUAUGAAUAAAACAAUUCAAAAUACAACUUUCAACAACGGAUCUCUUGGCUCUC